CCAGCCGUACCCACCAAACUCAGACCCACACACUGAAAUUCCCCUAAAAUCACUACGGACCACUUCACCGGCGGCUCGCCGUACUCCGCCGCCGUAAACCGAUGACCCUUUCAUUAGGCUUGUUGCGGUCAGGCCUCCUCAACCGGCGCAUCAACCAACCGGCGAAUCAAGUCCUUCGCCUCCACCUCGCAUUCUCCUCCGCCUCGCCGUCCCCGUCCGACCCCUCCGCCGCCGCCGCCGGCCCCCAGACCACCAUCAGGGAAGGGAAAGUGGAAAUAUUUUUGGACGAGUCCAACUCAGUCUUCUACAACAAGACCCAGGUUAACAAUAGAGAUAUUUCCAUUGCUGUAUUGAGAUCAUUUAUUUUGAAAAGACAUGAAGAAUAUGCUGCCCGAUCAAGAAAAGCAGGACCAGGAGACACUACAUUGAGUGCGCAAGCUAAGUAUAAAGAGCCGAAAGUUCUUGAGGCAUUAGCUGCAUCAGGGCUAAGAGCCAUUAGGUAUGCUGUUGAGGUAGAUGGAAUUGGUGAAGUUACUGCUGUUGACAAUAAUGAAGCCGCUGUAGAAGCCUGCAAGAAAAAUAUACAGCACAAUGGCAGUCUUGCAUCUUCGAAGGUGGUACCACAUCACGCUGAUGCACGUGUCUACAUGCUCACACACCCAAAAGAAUUUGAUGUGUGGAUGGGCUUCCACACCUUGUUGUCCUUCGAGGUGCAUUGCGAGAGGAAAAACAGCUUGCACUUGUGGAUCCAGGAGACAGGCUUGUGGCUGUCAUCAUACUUCAGAACGUGAGCGGUUGCUGGUCCUGAGCAGGUGACCUUGAUCGGCUUCAGCAUGGAUACCUCAUCCUUGAUGGAAGUGGUUUCCGCAAGGAUCUUCCAACAGCAUUCUUAAAAUCGAUAGCUGAGAUGAUGCCCCCCCUCUGAUUGGGUUUGUGGUGAUGGCCGAUGCAGUGGUGGCAGAAGUAAGGAUGGAUGCAUGAUUGCAUCGGUAGGCACUGUGAUAUUACUAGAUGCAGAAGAGCGUCGGGCUCCUAAUAAACUAACAUUCUGCUAAUUAUCCUUUUGAUUAUCUAAUGCUUGAAGCAGCAAACUCAAAACAAAACUUAGGGCAGACCUAGUGCCAAAGGCUCCCACAUGAGUGGAAUCAGGGGAAGGGAUAAACUGAGGCGAGCCUUCCCCGCAAAUGUGGAGGGGCUGCUUGAAUCUGCGACUUGGUGACUCAAUGAGACAACUCUCACUGAGGCUAACUCCAGCAACCUCCAUAUCCCACCUCCUAUCUCACUCUCUAUUUCAAACUCCACUCUGUAAACAGUGCAAAACAAUGUUUUGCACGACCAUAUGCACGCUUUGCUGUCCUCACCACUGCACCAAGCCUGCCUUUCUUAAACUCAAAACAAAAUUAAGGUACUUAAAUUUCUCUGCCACUUGUGGACGCUUGAUUGUUCCUUUUGCACAAGUACUCCUUGGUCUUGCCAAUGGAAGUCUCCACAACAUUUCAAGAUUUAAGAGGUAGAAAUGUUGAUAGUUUUUCUUGGUGUAUUAAUAAUUGAAUUAUCAAAAUGCUGUACUAUUUUAACUGAAACUUUAACAGUUUAACACAUAUUCCUAAUAAAAGAUAACAAAGUUCUCUUACCUUUCCGAAGUUCGUAGAACCAGUUUAAGUUUUAUCAUUUAUGUUUAUGUGAUAUUGAGUAGUCAAUGCCCCACAUACAGAAAUGUUCAUAAUUGUUCUUGUGAUCCUGUCUACCCUUUUUCCUAACCAGUUUUGACAAGGUUAUUCUAGAUUACCUUCUAUAGGAUAUUAGCCAUGAAUUUAGUUUCUGUCAACACAGCAUGUGUGCAUCUUUAGGUGGUCAUUAAUCAAUAACACAUAUCACAUAGGACAACAAUGUGUUAUGGGACUCCUAGUUCACAUAAACCCUGGUGUGGAUUAGAAACAUUGAAUGCAGUAAUGUGAACCUCAUAAUACUAUAAGACCUUGUGGGUUUAGAAGGAGCAGGUUGGUUUGGAAGUUUAUUCGCUAGCUUAGAAUUUAAUAUAUACAUUUCUACCCCUUAAGUCCUCUCACAUUGCAGUUUUGCACUGGUCUGUCUUGCUAGCAAACAUAAUUAUUCAAACUAGCACAAGAAAAGCCAUGUAGUGUCUAUUGAAUCCCCUGUACCAAAAAUAACUAGAAGGAGCCAGCCUGCCUAAUGCUCUUGGUUGCGACAGGGAGGGAGGUUUAAUAUUAGGAAUUGUAUCAUAGAAUGAUAGAAGUGCUUUGGUGACAAAUUUACAUUUGUUCAGUUCAUAUGACCAAUUUAGAUAUUUCAUUACAUAGCAUUGAAUCUGUGGAAAUUUGUACCAUAGGGAAGCAACAGAGGCAUUUGCUAACUACCUGUCACAUAUUUGCCACCUGCAAAUUGUUAAGGCCCAUUAGGCCCAGGCCCUACUGGCUAUAUAUAUUACCUACAGUCCUUAGGGACCUUUAUCAAUUAUCUAUCCCAAGGUUAGUAACAUGGUAACAGAGCAGGUUACGAAACCCUAAUUUUUUCAGCCGCCGUCGCGGCUGUUUCUCCGCCCAGCCGCCGUCGCGGCCCUUCCCCACCCAGCUGCCACAGUCGCGGAUCCGGCCGCCGUCGCGGAUCCGGCUUUCCCUGCCUCUGCUCCAUCGUGGAUCCGUCCGCCUCUGCUCCGUCGCGGGUCCGCUCCUGCCUCUGCUCCGUCGGCCUGUCCUGCGCGGAUCCGGCCGCCGUCCCCUCAGCUCCUGCCCGUGCGGAGCCGCGGAUCCGGCGGUCCGUCGCGCCUGCCCUGCGCGGAUCCGGCCGCCGUCCCUCAGCUCCUGCCCGCAAGGAGCCGCGGAUCCGGCGGCGCUCCUUCCCUGUGCGCGGCCUGUCGCGCCGCGGAUCCGGUCUUCCCUGUGCGCGGUGCGGUGGCUGCCCCUGUGCGCGGCGCUCUUCCCGGCGGCCGUCCCUGCGCGGCGCUCUUCUGCACUGUCUCGCGCGGCCACCGAUCCGGCCGCCCUGUCCCGCGCCGCGGAUCCGGCCGUCCCUGCGCGACGCUCUUCCCGGCGGCCGUCCCUGUGCGAGGCGCUCUCGGCGCAGCGCGCUCGCGGAUCCGGCCGCGAAUCCUGCAGUCCCUGUGCGCAGCGCGCUCCCCUGUGCUCUUGCGUGCGAGGUGCUGCGCGCUUUGCUGUCCCUGCGUCGCUGCGCUGUCUGCUCUGCUUCUCCAGCAACAGGGACGCCGUCAGCCUGCUGUCAUCUGCACCAACGCGGUCACCUUGCCUAGAUCUGUUUCGGCAACGUGGUCCUCUCCGAUCAGUCAAGAAUUCGCCUACCACUUGUGCUGAUCUGCUUGGAAUCAGUCUCCUGCCAGAAAUUUUGGUACUCUCUGACUGUUCUCUUGCUAUUCAAUAUGUCAACCAAUGCUAUUGUUGUCAAUAUUGUGCUCGAUGGUCAGAAUUAUCCCGAAUGGGCUUUCUGUGUUCAGACUGCAUUACGAGGUCAUGGUUUACUAUUUCAUUUAACUGAAGAUUCACCAGUCCUAGCAGCCGAUAGAAGCAAUGCUGCUGCAAUCAAGACUUGGCAGAUCAAUGAUGGCAAGGUAAUGGCUGCUAUGGUCAAUAGCACUAAACCAACUAUGAUUAUGAGUCUGUCUAAAUUCACCACUGCUAAGGCUAUCUGGUCACAUCUGAAGGACCGGUUUGUUCAGGACAGCGGUGCUCUUUUACAUACCCUCAUGCAACAGACUCAUGUCAUUGAGCAACAUGAUAUGUCCAUUGAUGAAUACUAUUCAGCCUUUGAUCGUCUUAUGAGUGCAUUGACCUCCAUGGUGCCUGCUUGUACUGCUGUGCCUUGUCCCGCCCACAAGUUCAUUGAGAAAUUCUUUACCUACAUAUUUGUUAUGGGAGUUCGACCUGAGUUUGAUUCCCUUCGCGCAAGGCUGCUUCACAGUUCGGAUACUCUCACCAUGGCUCAGGCAUUGUCCGAAUUGCUUGCUGAAGAGACUCGUCUGAAGUCUAUGUCCUCUAUUUCUAGUCUGAGUUCUCACAGUGUGUUGGCUGUUGCUCAGAGGUCUAGGAACAUCUCCUUUCAGCCUUGUGAACACUGCAAAAAGACCACUCAUCGGUCUGAGAACUGCUUUGCUAAGUUUCCAGAGAAGCUGGCUGAUUUUCGUGUCCGUCGUGCUACUCGUGGUCGUGGUACAGGACCAUCUCCUAGAGGCUCAGUUGCGGUUGCUGCUACUUCAUCUGCUGGUGCUCUGUCAUCAUCCUGGGUUCUUGAUUCUGGAGCUUCCUUUCAUGUGACAUCUGAUCAGUCACGGCUGGCGUCUACUACACCUGUCACCGAGGGUACUUCUGUUCAGACUGCUGAUGGUACAUUAUGUCAUGUCACCCACAAGGGUUCUCUUUCUGAUCCAACUUUUAUUGUCCCAAAUAUAUUUUUUGUCCCUCAGUUAUCCAUGGAUCUACUAUCAGUUGGUCAAAUUACCGAUCACAAUUGUUUUGUUGGAUUUGAUGACUCAUCUUGUUUUGUACAGGAUCGCAAAACAGGAGAUGUGAUUGGGACUGGCCGUCGCCGUAAAUCUUCGCCUCGCCUCUACAUCUUGGACACUUUGCGUCUUCCUUCAUCCCCUACUACUACACCUCAUGUGCUCGCUGCUUCGGGCCCCACGACGUCAUUCACCCAGUGGCAUCAUCGUCUGGGUCACUUAUGUGGAUCCCGUCUGUCUACUCUAAUAAAGUCAGGAUGUUUAGGCUCUACUCAUGUUGAGUCUAGUUUUCAUUGUAAAGGUUGUCAUCUUGGAAAACAAAUACAGCUUCCAUAUUUUACUAGUACUUCCCAUUCUGCUAAACCUUUUGAUCUAAUUCACUCUGAUGUUUGGGGUCCAGCUCCGUUUGUUUCUAAAGGUGGUCAUAAAUAUUAUGUCAUUUUUAUUGAUGAUCAUUCUCGUUAUACUUGGAUUUACUUCAUGAAACGCCGUUCGGAAUUGCCUUCUAUUUACAAGUCCUUCAUUCGCAUGGUUCACACCCAGUUUUCUGCUACUAUUAAAAUUUUUCGUUCAGAUUCUGGUGGUGAAUUCCUAUCUGAUAAUUUUCGCCAGAUAUUGAGCAUAGAGGGUACUCUAGCUCAACUUUCUUGUCCUGGUGCUCAUGCCCAAAAUGGUGUUGCUGAACGCAAACACCGUCAUAUUAUUGAGAGUGCUCGUACUCUUUUGAUAUCUUCUUUUGUACCUUCACACUUUUGGAGUGAAGCUGUUUCCACUGCCGUCUAUCUCAUUAAUAGACAACCUUCAUCUAAACUUUCUGGUAAAUCACCGGGUGAAGUUCUUUUUGGGACUUUUCCACGAUAUGACCAUCUUCGUGUGUUUGGAUGUAUAUGUUAUGUCUUGUUACCACCACGUGAGCGGACCAAAUUGACUGCUCAAUCUGUAGAGUGUGUAUUCCUUGGAUACAGUCCUGAACACAAAGGCUAUCGUUGUUAUGAUCCAUCUACUCGUCGUAUUCGGAUUUCUAGAGAUGUGAGUUUCAAUGAAAAUCGCCCCUUCUUUCACAACCAGUCUACUCACUCCACCUAUUAUCCCACAGAAUCUACCUCUUUCAUGUGUCUUCCUUCCAUUCCUGCAUCUGAACCAUCAUCUUCUACAUCCACAUCUGAUGUUCUCAUUCCCAUAACACCACCUUCCACCUCCACGUCAUCCACCUCUUACUCUUCCAAACCACCUAUCAUCCAAACCUACAUUCGUCGUUCCCGCUCUAUUCCUACGGCUGGUCCUGAUACUGAUCCUGUACCUGAUUCUUGUACUAACAAUAAUGAGUUUAAUGAUGUUUUUAAUCAGGGAUACCGUCUUCGUGACCGUGGUACCAUUGAACCUCCAGAUCGCUAUGGUUUUCCACGGGCUGGUGUGGCAAUUGUUGAACCCACUACAUAUCAGGAAGCUUCUGGGAUUCUUGAGUGGCAGCUAGCUAUGAUUGAUGAAUUGGCUGCUCUUGAACGCACUGGUAAUGGGAUAUUGUUCCUUUACCCUCGCAUGCUGUUCCUAUCACAUGUAAAUGGGUAUUCAAAGUUAAGACAAAAUCAGAUGGUUCCAUUGAGAGGUAUAAAGCUCGUCUUGUGGCCCGUGGUUUUCAACAGACUCAAGGACUUGAUUAUGAUGAGACUUUUGCACCUGUUGCGCAUAUGACUACUGUUCGAACCUUGAUUGCUGUUGCGGCCUCCUCUUCUUGGACUAUAUCCCAGAUGGAUGUCAAGAAUGCUUUUCUUAAUGGCGAUCUACAAGAAGAAGUUUAUAUGCAUCCUCCUCCAGGGGUUGAUACUCCCUCAGGGCAUGUUUGUCGUCUUCGUCGCGCAUUGUAUGGGCUGAAACAAGCUCCUCGUGCUUGGUUUGAGCGAUUCAUCUCUGUCAUCACAGCUGCUGGUUUUUCUUCUAGUGAACAUGAUCCUGCAUUGUUUGUUCAUGUCUCUCCAAAAGGUCGUACCUUACUACUAUUAUAUGUGGAUGAUAUGCUGAUUACAGGUGACAACUCAGAACAUAUUUCUCAUGUCAAGCUACACCUUAGUAAGGAAUUUCAGAUGUCUGAUCUGGGCCCGCUUAGCUAUUUCUUGGGCAUUGAAGUUCAGCAAACUCAAAAAGGUUUUUAUCUGUCUCAGUCGAAAUAUAUACAAGAUCUUCUUGAUCGCUCUGGACUUACUGAUACUCGCACUGUUGCAACACCGAUGGAUAUUCAUUUAAAACUUCGUCCGAAGGAUGGGACCCCACUAGCAGAUCCAACUCGGUAUCGUCAUAUUGUGGGUAGUCUUGUUUAUCUCACUAUCACCAGACCUGAUAUUGCUCAUGCUGUUCAUAUGUUGAGCCAAUUUGUAUCAACACCUACUUCGGUUCAUUAUGGUCAUUUGCUUCGUGUGCUUCGAUAUUUACGUGGGACAAGAUCCAGAUGUUUACUCUAUGCUUCAGAUAGCCCACUUCAGCUUCAUGCGUAUUCAGAUGCCACUUGGGCUAGUGAUCCUGUUGACCGUUGUUCUACUACAGGUUACUGUAUUCUCCUUGGGUCAUCUCCCAUUGCAUGGAAAUCCAAGAAGCAAGCGGCCAUUUCUCGUUCUAGUGCUGAAGCCGAACUUCGGGCACUUGCUACUACCACUGCUGAAAUUAUUUGGUUGCGCUGGCUCUUGGCUGAUCUUGGUGUCUCUUGUGACACUUCUACACCUCUGUUAUGUGAUAACUUGAGCGCUAUACAGAUUGCUCAUGAUCCAGUGAAGCAUGAACUUACUAAACACAUAGGUGUUGAUGCAUCCUUUACUCGAUUCCAUUGUCAGCGGAAGACUAUUGAUCUUCAAUAUGUGCCCUCAGAAUAUCAAUUGGCAGAUUUUUUCACCAAAGCACAAACAAGAGCACAACAUCAGUUUCACUUGAUCAAACUCAAAGCUUCAGAUCCUCCAUUUUCACCUUGAGUUUGAGGAGGGGUGUUAAGGCCCAUUAGGCCCUACUGGCUAUAUAUAUUACCUACAGUCCUUAGGGACCUUUAUCAAUUAUCUAUCCCAAGGUUGACCUUGAUCCUUAUGGGUCACCAGCUGCAUUCCUUGAUUCAGCGGUUCAAUGUGUAGCAGAUGGGGGCAUCUUGAUGUGCUCAGCUACAGACAUGGCAGUGCUUGCUGGUGGAAAUGCAGAAGUUUGUUUUUCUAAGUAUGGUUCUUAUCCAUUAAGAGGUAAACACUGCCAUGAAAUGGCGCUGAGGAUUCUUCUUGCCUGCAUUGAGUCACAUGCAAUCCGUCACAAGCGCUACAUAGUUCCUAUAAUAUCAGUACACAUGGAUUUCUACAUUAGGGUUUUUGUGCGAAUCUUCACCUCGGCUAGCACAGUAAAAAGCUCACCACUCAAAUUGGCACAUGUUUACCAAUGCACUGGGUGCAAUUCAUUUUACCUGCAAAAUAUUGGAAGAAUUCAUUCAAAGGAUAAGGAAAACAUAGCUGUACCAAAUUUUCGCCUUACUCUGCCUGAAGUAUGUUCUGAAUGUGGCCAUCAAUUUGUUAUGGGGGGACCUCUUUGGAGUUAUCCAAUACAUGACAAGGUAUGGGCUGCUUCAAUAUUAUCAGAUAUUCAUGCUAUGAGAGAAGCAUAUCCAGCUUAUCCAAAAAUUUCGGCUAUACUAUCUUCAGUCUCAGAGGAAUUGCUGGAGGCACCUUUAUUUGUGAGUCUUCACAAUCUGUGUGCAAUACUGAAGUGCACUACUCCAACCAUGGUUAUGUUACAAUGUGCUAUCAGAAAUGCUGGGUAUCAAGUAUCAGGAAGUCAUGUGGACCCGCUAGCUCUUAAAACAGAUGCCCCGAUGUCAGUGAUCUGGGACAUCAUGCGAUGCUGGGUCAAGCUUCACCCAGUUAAACAUCGACCUGGAAAUCAUCCUGGCAAUGUGAUACUUUCCCAAGAGCCUAAAUUUCAGGCAAAAUUUUCCAGAGUACUGGGGGCCUCGGUCACCCGGAAGCGCGCAAGAUUCAUGCCAAAUCCUGAGAAGUAUUGGGGUCCUGGGACGAAGGCUGGCAGGAAUCCGAGAACAUUUCAGAUGGAUAACCGUAACUGACGCGAUCUCCGCGCCAGAGCCCAGAAGACGGAUAAUUUAGUUUAUUGCUUUGUCAAUUGAUAUAGUUUGUGCGAUUGCAAUAUUUGAAUGAUGUUUGUGAGUUUGUUCCUUAAGUUCACCCUUCCUAAAAUUUUAGGUUGAGUCCACCGGUGACCGGCAGCAUGGCUCCAACACUAGACAGGACAUACGUUAGGUAUUUUUGGUCGAAGAUCGUUAUGGACAGUCUUCAUUAUCAUCAAAGAUACAUCUAUGAUUUUUUGAAGAGAAAA